CCUACGGGUGGCAGCAGUGGGGAAUAUUGCACAAUGGGGGAAACCCUGAUGCAGCGACGCCGCGUGAGCGAGGAAGUAUUUCGGUAUGUAAAGCUCUAUCAGCAGGGACGAAAAAAGACGGUACCUGACUAAGAAGCCCCGGCUAACUACGUGCCAGCAGCCGCGGUAAUACGUAGGGGGCAAGCGUUAUCCGGAUUUACUGGGUGUAAAGGGAGCGUAGACGGCAAGGCAAGCCAGAAGUGAAAGGGCACGGCUCAACCCUGUACAUGCUUUUGGAACUGGGGGGCUAGAGUGCAGGAGAGGUAAGUGGAAUUCCUAGUGUAGCGGUGAAAUGCUUAGAUAUUAGGAGGAACACCAGUGGCGAAGGCGGCUUACUGGACUGUAACUGACGUUGAGGCUCGAAAGCGUGGGGAGCAAACAGGAUUAGAUACCCGAGUAGUC
rnacentral:rRNA from 1 species